rnacentral:tRNA from 1 species
GGAUUGUAGCUCAGUGAUAGAGCACUUGCCUCGCAUGCGUGAGGCACUGGGUUCGAUCCUCAGUACCA